AGUUAAGUGAUGUAAGCGUAUACGGUGGAUGCCUUGGCAGUCAAAGGCGAUGAAGGACGUGCUAAUCUGCGAAAAGUAUCGGUGAGCUGAUUUGAAGCGUUAUUAACCGGUGAUGUCCGAAUGGGGAAACCUAGUGCAAUUUAAAUUGUGCAUUAUUAUUUAGUGAAUUUAUAGCUAAAUGAAGCAAACCAGAGGAACUGAAACAUCUUAGUACUCUGAGGAAAAGAAAUCAAUUGAGAUUCUCGUAGUAGUGGCGAGCGAACCGGGAUAAGCCCAGUAGCAAAAUAUUAUAAUUAGUAUAUUAAGAGAAUAAUUUGGAAAAAUUAGCAAUAUAGGGUGAUAGCCCCGUAUCUGAAAAUAUAUUAGUUUGUAAGCUCGAAGAGUAGGACGGGACACGUGAUAUCUUGUCUGAACAUAGGGGGACCAUCCUCUAAGGCUAAAUACUCUUGACUGACCGAUAGUGAACUAGUACCGUGAGGGAAAGGCGAAAAGAACCCCGGUUAGGGGAGUGAAAUAGAACCUGAAACCGUAUACGUACAAGCAGUAGGAGCGAAUACAGUGUGAUUAGUUGUAUAAAUGUAUAAAUAUUCGUGACUGCGUACCUUUUGUAUAAUGGGUCAGCGACUUAUAUUCUGUAGCAAGGUUAACUGAUUAAGGGAGCCGUAGGGAAACCGAGUCUUAACUGGCGUUAAGUUGCAGGAUAUAGACCCGAAACCCGGUGAUCUAACCAUGAACAGGUUGAAGAUUGGGUAAUACUAAUUGGAGGACCGAACCGACUAAUGUUGAAAAAUUAGCGGAUGAUUUGUGGUUAGGGGUGAAAGACCAAUCAAACCGGGAGAUAGCUGGUUCUCCUCGAAAGCUAUUUAGGUAGCGCCUUGUAAAUUCAUCUUUGGGGGUAGAGCACUGUUUCGAUUAGGGGUUCAAACCGAGCUACCAACUCGAUGCAAACUACGAAUACCAAAGAAUGUUAUUACUGGAGACACACAGCGGGUGCUAACAUUCGUUGUGGAAAGGGAAACAACCCAGAUCGCUAGCUAAGGUCCCUAAGUUAUGAUUAAGUGGGAAACGAUGUGAGAAGGCAUAAACAGCCAGGAUGUUGGCUUAGAAGCAGCCAUCAUUUAAAGAAAGCGUAAUAGCUCACUGGUCGAGUCGGCUUGCGCGGAAGAUGUAACGGGGCUAAAUCAUACACCGAAGCUGCGACAAUAGAACAUUUACUAUUUUUAUUUUAAUUAAAUUAAAAUUUAUAUUUAUAUAAAAAUAUAAAUAAGUUGAAAUAAAAUGGGUGAAGUGUUUUGUUGGGUAGAGGAGCGUUCUGUAAGCCUGAGAAGAUAUAUUGUGAGAUAUAUUGGAGGUAUCAGAAGUGCGAAUGCUGACAUAAGUAACGAUAAAGCAGGUGAAAAACCUGCUCGCCGAAAAACUAAGGUUUCCUGUCCAACGUUAAUCGGGGCAGGGUAAGUCGACCCCUAAGGUGAGGCCAAACGGCGUAGCUAAUGGGAAACAGGUUAAUAUUCCUGUACUGGAUGUAAUUGCGAUGGGGUAACGGAGAAAGCUAGGUUCGCCGAGGAUCGGUAGUCUCGGUUUAAGCAAGUAGAUGAGAAGAUAUAGGAAAAUCCGAUCUUCUUUACAUUAAGAUGUGAUGACGAGCUGCUACGGUAGCGAAGGAAUUGAUGCUAUGCUUCCAAGAAAAACCUCUAAGCUUCAGAUUAUAUCCAAUCGUACCGUAAACCGACACAGGUAGUUAGGUAGAGAAUACUAAGGCGCUUGAGAGAACUCGGGUGAAGGAACUAGGCAAAAUAGUGCCGUAACUUUGGGAGAAGGCACGCUAACAUGUAAGUGAAGGGAGUACUUCUGGAGCUGAAGUUAGUCGAAGAUACCAGCUGGCUGCAACUGUUUAUUAAAAACACAGCACUGUGCAAACACGAAAGUGGAAGUAUACAGUGUGACGCCUGCCCGGUGCCGGAAGGUUAAUUGAGAUGGUUAUCUUUGCAAAAAGAGAAGCUUUUGAUCGAAGCCUCGGUAAACGGCGGCCGUAACUAUAACGGUCCUAAGGUAGCGAAAUUCCUUGUCGGGUAAGUUCCGACCUGCACGAAUGGCGUAAUGAUGGUCAGACUGUCUCCACCCGAGACUCAGUGAAAUUGAAUUCGCCGUGAAGAUGCGGCGUACCCGCGGCAAGACGGAAAGACCCCGUGAACCUUUACUAUAGCUUGAUACUGAAUGUUGGAUUUUAAUGUGUAGGAUAGGUGGGAGGCUAUGAAAUAAAGACGCUAGUUUUUAUGGAGCCGUCCUUGAAAUACCACCCUUUGAUGUUUAAUAUUCUAACUUUAGUCCGUUAUCCGGAUUAAGGACAGUGUCUGGUGGGUAGUUUGACUGGGGCGGUCUCCUCCUAAAGAGUAACGGAGGAGCACAAAGGUUAGCUAAUUACGGUUGGAAAUCGUAAGGUUAGUGCAAAGGCAUAAGCUAGCUUAACUGCGAGAGUGACGAUUCGAGCAGAUGCGAAAGCAGGUCUUAGUGAUCCGGUGGUCCUGUAUGGAAAGGCCAUCGCUCAACGGAUAAAAGGUACUCCGGGGAUAACAGGCUAAUACCGCCCAAGAGUUCGUAUCGACGGCGGUGUUUGGCACCUCGAUGUCGGCUCAUCACAUCCUGGGGCUGCAGCAGGUCCCAAGGGUAUGGCUGUUCGCCAUUUAAAGUGGUACGCGAGCUGGGUUUAGAACGUCGUGAGACAGUUCGGUCCCUAUCUGCCGUGGGCGUUGGAAGAUUGAGAGGGGCUGCUCCUAGUACGAGAGGACCGGAGUGGACGUACCUAUGGUGUUCGGGUUGUCAUGCCAAUGGCAUUGCCCGGUAGCUAUGUACGGAAAAGAUAACCGCUGAAAGCAUCUAAGCGGGAAACUUGCCUCAAGAUGAGUCUUCCCUGAGGAUUAUUAAUUACAAUCCUCCUAAAGGGCCGUUAAAGACUAUGACGUUGAUAGGUCGGGUGUGUAAGCAUUGUGAGAUGUUUAGCUAACCGAUACUAAUGACCCGUGAGAACUUAACUUC
rfam:Blochmannia floridanus complete genome